ACCCUAUUUAAUAAAAUGGUUGAACCAAGUGAAGAAGAGUUAACCACUCUGCUUGGGCUACCUGAACAACAGCCAUACGGUUUGGCGGGAUACUACCAAAUCGUGGCCGCAAAAUCAGUAAUGAUUAGCGAUAAGGAGAAACUCCGAAUGUUAAGGGUAGGCGCUUGGUUAUCCGCUAACAAAAGCACGAUUCCUCACGGCAUCAUAAUAGAAGUCAAGCGUUAAAAGCGUAGACUGAAUCCUAGUUAGGGUUUAGCUGGUGACUGUAUCAAACCUAGGAAAGACCAAUAAGGUGCUAUUGUCGUUGAAACCUAGAAAUAGGCUAUAAGUGAGGUUUGCGGUAAAAGUAGCUUAAAGUGACAACAAGUUCUUGGUAUUAGAACAAAUAGAAAAUAUUUGAUUUAUUAUUGAAGAAUUUGCUGAAUGGUUUGAGUGAAAUUUGAGAGUAGACAAUCUCUCCGUUGGUAGUCGAAAGACAGGGUGAAGAAGUUAAAGGGUCGCUACCUUUGGCUCAGCCUUCAUCUUCAACGUAGCUGAAUAUGUUAGAAGGAUAAUACAAGUACGGCGAAGGUCGCAACGGUUUUAUUAAAUAGG
rnacentral:ncRNA from 1 species